rnacentral:rRNA from 1 species
GGGGUAACCCAGCCAUCAUUAAGAUGGUUAUCUUGUACUGAAUACAUAGGUGCAAGGGGGCGAACCAGGGGAACUGAAACAUCUAAGUACCCUGAGGAAAAGAAAUCAACCGAGAUUCCCUUAGUAGUGGCGAGCGAACGGGGACUAGCCCUUAAGUGGCUUUGAGAUUAGCGGAACGCUCUGGAAAGUGCGGCCAUAGUGGGUGAUAGCCCUGUACGCGAAAAUCUCUUAGUCAUGAAAUCGAGUAGGACGGAGCACGAGAAACUUUGUCUGAAUAUGGGGGGACCAUCCUCCAAGGCUAAAUACUACUGACUGACCGAUAGUGAACUAGUACCGUGAGGGAAAGGCGAAAAGAACCCCGGAGAGGGGAGUGAAAUAGAUCCUGAAACCGUAUGCGUACAAGCAGUGGGAGCCCACUUUGUUGGGUGACUGCGUACCUUUUGUAUAAUGGGUCAGCGACUUAUUUUCAGUGGCGAGCUUAACCGAAUAGGGGAGGCGUAGCGAAAGCGAGUCUUAAUAGGGCGUCUAGUCGCUGGGAAUAGACCCGAAACCGGGCGAUCUAUCCAUGGGCAGGUUGAAGGUUGGGUAACACUAACUGGAGGACCGAACCGACUACCGUUGAAAAGUUAGCGGAUGACCUGUGGAUCGGAGUGAAAGGCUAAUCAAGCUCGGAGAUAGCUGGUUCUCCUCGAAAGCUAUUUAGGUAGCGCCUCAUGUAUCACUGUAGGGGGUAGAGCACUGUUUCGGCUAGGGGGUCAUCCCGACUUACCAAACCGAUGCAAACUCCGAAUACCUACAAGUGCCGAGCAUGGGAGACACACGGCGGGUGCUAACGUCCGUCGUGAAAAGGGAAACAACCCAGACCGUCAGCUAAGGUCCCAAAGUUAUGGUUAAGUGGGAAACGAUGUGGGAAGGCUUAGACAGCUAGGAGGUUGGCUUAGAAGCAGCCACCCUUUAAAGAAAGCGUAAUAGCUCACUAGUCGAGUCGGCCUGCGCGGAAGAUGUAACGGGGCUCAAACCAUACACCGAAGCUACGGGUAUCACGUAAGUGAUGCGGUAGAGGAGCGUUCUGUAAGCCUGUGAAGGUGAGUUGAGAAGCUUGCUGGAGGUAUCAGAAGUGCGAAUGCUGACAUGAGUAACGACAAUGGGUGUGAAAAACACCCACGCCGAAAGACCAAGGUUUCCUGCGCAACGUUAAUCGACGCAGGGUUAGUCGGUCCCUAAGGCGAGGCUGAAAAGCGUAGUCGAUGGAAAACAGGUUAAUAUUCCUGUACUUCUGGUUAUUGCGAUGGAGGGACGGAGAAGGCUAGGCCAGCUUGGCGUUGGUUGUCCAAGUUUAAGGUGGUAGGCUGAGAUCUUAGGUAAAUCCGGGAUCUUAAGGCCGAGAGCUGAUGACGAGUCGUCUUUUAGACGACGAAGUGGUUGAUGCCAUGCUUCCAAGAAAAGCUUCUAAGCUUCAGGUAACCAGGAACCGUACCCCAAACCGACACAGGUGGUUGGGUAGAGAAUACCAAGGCGCUUGAGAGAACUCGGGUGAAGGAACUAGGCAAAAUGGCACCGUAACUUCGGGAGAAGGUGCGCCGGUGAGGGUGAAGGACUUGCUCCGUAAGCUCAUGCCGGUCGAAGAUACCAGGCCGCUGCGACUGUUUAUUAAAAACACAGCACUCUGCAAACACGAAAGUGGACGUAUAGGGUGUGACGCCUGCCCGGUGCCGGAAGGUUAAUUGAUGGGGUUAGCUAACGCGAAGCUCUUGAUCGAAGCCCCGGUAAACGGCGGCCGUAACUAUAACGGUCCUAAGGUAGCGAAAUUCCUUGUCGGGUAAGUUCCGACCUGCACGAAUGGCGUAACGAUGGCGGCGCUGUCUCCACCCGAGACUCAGUGAAAUUGAAAUCGCUGUGAAGAUGCAGUGUAUCCGCGGCUAGACGGAAAGACCCCGUGAACCUUUACUAUAGCUUUGCACUGGACUUUGAAUUUGCUUGUGUAGGAUAGGUGGGAGGCUUUGAAGCGUGGACGCCAGUUCGCGUGGAGCCAACCUUGAAAUACCACCCUGGCAACUUUGAGGUUCUAACUCAGGUCCGUUAUCCGGAUCGAGGACAGUGUAUGGUGGGUAGUUUGACUGGGGCGGUCUCCUCCUAAAGAGUAACGGAGGAGUACGAAGGUGCGCUCAGACCGGUCGGAAAUCGGUCGUAGAGUAUAAAGGCAAAAGCGCGCUUGACUGCGAGACAGACACGUCGAGCAGGUACGAAAGUAGGUCUUAGUGAUCCGGUGGUUCUGUAUGGAAGGGCCAUCGCUCAACGGAUAAAAGGUACUCCGGGGAUAACAGGCUGAUACCGCCCAAGAGUUCAUAUCGACGGCGGUGUUUGGCACCUCGAUGUCGGCUCAUCACAUCCUGGGGCUGAAGCCGGUCCCAAGGGUAUGGCUGUUCGCCAUUUAAAGUGGUACGCGAGCUGGGUUUAGAACGUCGUGAGACAGUUCGGUCCCUAUCUGCCGUGGACGUUUGAGAUUUGAGAGGGGCUGCUCCUAGUACGAGAGGACCGGAGUGGACGAACCUCUGGUGUUCCGGUUGUCACGCCAGUGGCAUUGCCGGGUAGCUAUGUUCGGAAUAGAUAACCGCUGAAAGCAUCUAAGCGGGAAACUAGCCUCAAGAUGAGAUCUCACUGGGACCUUGAGUCACCCGUACACCUACCUGUCGCUCGGGGCGACCUU